AGAAAGAAAGUCAAGAUGUGUUGUCUACGGGAUAGAAAGAAAGUCAAGAUGAGUAAGGAUAAGACACAGUAUAGUCAGCCUCUAAGGAAGGAGUGUUAGGCUCUAUCUACUUUGUAAGUCAAGAUAAGGUGGCAAGAUAGGGUGACUUAUGAGUUUCGUUUUCUUCUGAUUAACAGGUGCUGUUAUCGGUGAAUAAAGGUUUAGUUUGGAAUGCCAGAGGUCGGGCAAGGAGCCUAAGAGUGAAAGGCGGGAUAGAUAGGCAACAACUCCUUUAGCGCUUUUCACUCACUUUAGCUAUAAAUUCUCACUAUUCCCCGGUUCCUUCUCAUAAAGUAGUUGUUUCAGUCGUUAGGAGCAGUGUUCUAGUUUGAAACCAAGCGAAGGCUGCUUAGUUCCACCCAGGAGAGAAGUCUAAUCAGUAGUAGGAAGUCUCAUCAGUAGUAGUUAGUUGUGCAUUCUACUAUUAUAAUAAUCGAAUAGAUGAGUGACAAAGCGCAUUCUCAAUAUUAGUAAACAUGAUCAUUAAUAUAAAUAAACAUAAGAGUCAAGUUAAGCCCGAUAUCUACUAGGGAUAGGGAGCGCGUAAACACUUUUAGGGCAGUAGCUUCGGUUUGAAGUGAGAAAUGGAGAACAGGGGUUGGUAAAUAAGUAGGUAAAUGUCUAUCUGUGAGUAAGGUUGUUGUUUAUUAGGCAGUAGUCUAUUCUUGUUAGUAUAACCUUUGCUUUGUGUCGGUGUCCAAGUCCAAGUCCUAUGUCUCGGUGUUCGAUUCCCGUCUAAGGGGUAUAAGAGUCAAAGGGAUAGUUCAAUUCGGCGCCAGUCUCUUAUGCCCGGGUUUUUUUCUUGAUUCUUUGUAUUGCUUCUUUAAAAUAGUAAUUGCAGAGUCAAAGAGAAACAUGAAACAAUUGACUUCACACUAGAACCCCGGAUCUGUCGUUCACUGAUAUAGAAGUUGCCUUUUUUCACCCAAUUUAGCUAAUAAAUAACAAAUCAAUUCUACUAUAAGAUAAUUGAAUACCGACAUUUCAGAAUUCAAAGCUUUAAGGGCAGGCUGGGAGAAAGUCAAGUCAGAUUUCGGUCUAGUUAUCAUCUUCUAUUAGUUGGUCCUUUAUGAAAUUGAUUUUAUUCAACGUUUCUACCUUUCACUAGCGUUUUUUGUUAAAGUUGAAAGCUCAAAGAACUGUUAGAAGAAUAAUCAUUUGCUAAACCCCACAGGCUUAUGGUUAUGGACCUUGCAUCAAAUCCUCCACUCUCAUCUGCCCGAACAAGACUUAUAGCUAGAGCACCGACACAAUAACUUCUCUCUACUGUACAACACCUAAUAUUGAGGUUUAGGCUUUCUGUCACACCAGCAUUUACCUUACCCUUAUUCUUCUCGUGUUUAACAUCUUUCUUCCCGUUAGCAUAGUGCAACUCAUUAAUUUGAAUGAAAUCCUUCUUAUUGAGCACGUGGAUAGGCAUUUGCAAAUACCCACCAUACGCGCACCUUACUUAGUCUUGGUAUUUGUAUAAAAUCUGCAUUCUUAUCCUGUGUUUUAGUGUUAAUUGCGCCCCUAGAGUAGAGGGUUAGUAUGCCAACUCCUCAAAGUAUUGUUUUUAGUUGAAGCCUGAUAGUGGUAGCGGAAUUCCUUUUUAUGAGUGUAAUUUACAGUUGCUAUUUGUAUUCCUGCGAUUCCUUCUUAGUCUAAGGGCUCAAAUGUGGGUUUAGUAUCCUGACUUCUGUGUUUCAUUCCCUUCUGAAGUACCAAUACAACUAUUAGUCUUAAAGCUUAGGGCAUCAGGCAGGUGGCCCGCGACCCAACAGUUUCUUUCAGAUUCGAACUCGGCCGACUUACUAUAAGGGCAACUCAUUCUUAUUUCUGACUCCUCGACUCCGAGACUCAAGUACUGCUUCCAAACCCGCUCUUGAAACGAAAACUCUCCUUUCAACACCACAGCUUGCUGCUUCCUAACCCUCUCUUGCUUCUAUUCCUGCCUCAGAUCCAGAUCUAUAUUCUGGUGAUUCUUUAGCCGAUUCUUUCACCUCAGAUUCAUAUUGAUAGUACCGAUUGAAGUCAAGCACCCGAACCGAACUCUACAGAACUUCCUGCUUCGCUUGAUGGUUCAUCUGGUCCUGCCGAUGAUCUUUAUUCCGCUUCUAAUCGUUCGCCGGCUCCUAAUUCUUAUCAAGCUUAUUUUCUAUAAUAAGGAUGCAACAAGGGAUUCAACUCAUUGACUCGGCGCUUAAGAAGACAGAAAGAAUGUGUGUUUAGUGACUUUACUUGUUUCUAUUAUAAGUGGUGCACUAUCUUAAACAUUUAGGCGCAAAGGGAAAGCAAAUAAAUCACCUGUUCCUCCGGCUUAUCAAAUAAAUCACCUGUUCCUCCGGCUUCUGUCUGUAUAAGAGUGAACUUCUUGUCCUGCUUCGUUGCUUGCGGAUGCCCCAACUUGAGCUUUGACUGCGACACCUCUCCUUUUGCCUCUGCUGUAAACCUAUCUUUCGAGUCUACAUACCUCUGUUCUACUCCGUCCACGUAGGAUAAAGAACGUAGCCCACUAAAGG
rnacentral:lncRNA from 1 species